rnacentral:rRNA from 1 species
UACGAAGGGGGCUAGCGUUGCUCGGAAUUACUGGGCGUAAAGAGCGCGUAGGCGGCACGGUACGACCGGUGUGAAAGCCCCCGGCUCAACUGGGGAGGGUCACCGGUAACGGCCGAGCUAUGAGUGCAGGAGAGGGAAGUGGAACUCCGGGAGUAGCGGUGAAAUGCGUAGAGACCCGGAGGAACACCAGUGGCGAAGGCGGCUUCCUGGUCUGCAACUGACGCUGUGGCGCGAAAGCUAGGGGAGCAAACGGG